GCAGCAGUAGCGUGAGGUGGUCGAUCUGCUCCAACUUGCAGGCGCAGCACAACAGUAGGGAAGAAGAAAGAAAGAAAGGAAAAGAAAAGGAAAGGAAAGAAAAGAAAGAAAGGAAGAAGAAGAAAAAGAAGAAGAAGAAGAAAAGAGGAGGUGGAGGAGGAGUGGUGGUCGGAGGUGGUGUCGCUGGUGGUCAAGAAGCGCAGAAAAAACGGGGGAGGGGAGUGAGGUGUGUGCUAGAAAUAGAGGAAAAAAGAAAAUUCUAGAUGGUUUGGGUCCAACCGGUUCGGUUCGGUUCGGUUCGGCCCAAAUCUUCGGUUUCCAAUUGGUUUAUGGGUUUUUCAAUCGAUUUUUGGUUCGGUUUCCCACAAAGUUCACAUUAAAAUAUUAAAA
rnacentral:lncRNA from 1 species